AUUCAACCAGUAACCAGGCUGUAUCAAACCAGAAGGUGUUACAGAGGUCACCUGCAGUGCCUCAGGGGCCACAGAAGGGGCUGUUCAAUGAAUUCAGUCUCUGACUUCUUACUCCUCCCUAUGUGAGCUGCAGUGGCUGUUUUUGUUGUUGUUCUUCGAUCCUGGAGAAAAGACAUUGUAAACAUUCAAGCCUUUGAGCAAACGAAGCAUGAGAAGGAAGACAACAAAACCCUCGGUGAUUAUUGCUGCAAGAAUAACAGCAGUGUGCAUUGAGUCUGCAGUAAAUAGUGCUGGUGUGAUGCGUGACGUCAGGCAGUUAUGAAGGCUGGGACGAUGUUGGUGAAGUGGUGCUGAGAGCUGAAGGGGGACUGGAUUCCUGGUGGUGUUUCUGCUGCUGAGAAACAGCCACGGAGUGAGGCAGCGGAAUGGAAAAUGGGCUGGGGCUCGAAGCCCAGCUUAGAAAGAAAGGCGUUCUCAAGCUUCGCAGCUCUGACAGCAAUCCCUGCUCACAGCAAUUUGUCCUCCUGGGUUCUCAGCAACCCCAGGAAUUCAGGGCCAGGAUGCAGAACCGAGUGCUCUAACAAAUGAGAUUUCCCUUCACCGGCCCCACGUGGGCCUCGCUUCUGACUUUUCCACGUGCAGGAAAGUGACCUCGCAGCUGCAGUGUUUGUUCUGGGAUGUAUGGGUGGGAUCUGCCCCUCUGUCCCUCUCUGUUCCUUGCAGGAUGUGGUUUCUCACAGCGAAAAGCUUUCUAAGGAGAUCGAGAAGCAAAAGGGAGGUUUGAAAGCCUUGAGCGAAUAGGAGAAGAAGUGCUGGCAGUCUGUUGGCAUCUGUUCUGCUUCCUUCAGGUGUGCAGGAUUCACUUGGUUCUUUAGGAAUUAAGCCGUUUUCCUUUAGCUCUGCACUUCGUCACUCGGGGCGGCGCUGGUUGUGAUCUGAUGCAACGCCUUCCUGAAACUGAGUCCAAUCUCAAUCCUUUCCUUACAAGGAGUGCCAGCAGGCUGUGAGCUCGGGCUUUGCAGGCCAGGGCAGCUGACACAGAGGGCUCUGACUGUUCAGAAAGGAACGAGAAGGCUGAGAAUCAGGUGCUUUGUUUUUACCCGCUGUCCUCCCUAAGGAUCCUGCCUGUCUGAGGCACGUUUGGUGGCUUUGGCUGGAGCUGAGCUUGGUGCUUAUGGCUUCAGUCCUCUGUGAUGCAGAGCUGCACCACCGGCUGCCCACACCAAACACGCGUGUUGUUGGAGGAGGUUACUCCAUGCAUUUUGUUUUGUUCAGAGUGUGAGAUGCUGUGUGACGUGCGGAAUCGAACUCUGUGACCCAGUGUUGAGUUGUGCUCUCGAAUGGAAUGUUCAGCUGGAUCUACAACAGCUGCCAAGGAGGAGCCUGCAGGCAAACGGUGAUGGAUUUCCCAGGCGAUGCUGAGACGCCUCCUGCUGACUGAGUUCUACCUCGUGCUUCACAUUAAUUCUUCCCUUGGGUUAAAAGCAGACCAAAUCCUCGAAGCCGUGCCUGGGAAUCCCGCUGUUACUGGAGUGGUUCAGCCUGGUGCCGUGGUCAGAGCGCCCUGCAGCAGAUCCUGGCAUUGGUUGUGAAUGGGAGAACUCGCAACCAAUCGCUCCACAUCAAAACCAAUCCUGUGGAUAUGGACAAACCUCGGGCGCCCCGUGCAGGAUCCCGGCGUGGGGAGGCCACGUAUGGAAGCUCUUCCUGCUGUGCUUCUGCUAAGAGUUGCUCGGCUGGUUUGUGUUGCUCUGUUAAUUGUUCCAAGCCAUCCUUGGCUUUGCUGCACAUCUCUGUCUGAUUGAUACCAGCUUUUUCAUCACCUCAGACACUGGCCGAGAAAAGUAAUAAUAAAUAAAAAAAUGCAUGACUACA